UACGUAGGGCGCAAGCGUUGUCCGGAAUCAUUGGGCGUAAAGAGCUCGUAGGUGGUCUGUUACGUCUGCUGUGAAAACCUAGGGCUUAACCCUGGGCCUGCAGUGGAUACGGGCAGACUAGAGGUAGGUAGGGGAGAAUGGAAUUCCCGGUGUAGCGGUGAAAUGCGCAGAUAUCGGGAGGAACACCAGUGGCGAAGGCGGUUGCCUGGAGCUUUGCUGACGCUGAUGCGCGAAAGCGUGGGGGAGCGAACAGG
rnacentral:rRNA from 1 species